rnacentral:rRNA from 1 species
UGUGUGUUAGUGGAAGCGUCUGGAAAGGCGCGCGAUACAGGGUGACAGCCCCGUACACAAAAAUGCACAUGCUGUGAGCUCGAUGAGUAGGGCGGGACACGUGGUAUCCUGUCUGAAUAUGGGGGGACCAUCCUCCAAGGCUAAAUACUCCUGACUGACCGAUAGUGAACCAGUACCGUGAGGGAAAGGCGAAAAGAACCCCGGCGAGGGGAGUGAAAAAGAACCUGAAACCGU